AUUUGGUGUUGAGGGCACUUGAUGCAUAACUUCUUGAAUCUCUCCCAAUAAUCAUAGAGCGAUUCUCCUAGAUGUUGCUUGAUACUGCAUAUCUCCUUCCUCAGACU